AGGACGAACGCUGGCGGCGUGCUUAACACAUGCAAGUCGAGCGGAAAGGCCCUUCGGGAGGUGAUCAGCGGCGAACGGGUGAGUAACACGUGGGCAACCUGCCCCUCACACUGGGAUAACCUCGGGAAACCGGGGCUAAUACCGGAUACGACCUCGAGCGGCAUCUCUUGAGGUGGAAAGCUCCGACGGUGAGGGAUGGGCCCGCGGCCUAUCAGCUUGUUGGUGGGGUAAUGGCCUACCAAGGCGACGACGGGUA
rnacentral:rRNA from 1 species